CCUGCGGAGGGAUCAUUGCUGGAACGCGCUUCGGCGCACCCAGAAACCCUUUGUGAACUUAUACCUAUUGUUGCCUCGGCGCAGGCCGGCCUCUUCACUGAGGCCCCCUGGAAACAGGGAGCAGCCCGCCGGCGGCCAACCAAACUCUUGUUUCUACAGUGAAUCUCUGAGUAAAAAACAUAAAUGAAUCAAAACUUUCAACAACGGAUCUCUUGGUUCUGGCAUCGAUGAAGAACGCAGCGAAAUGCGAUAAGUAAUGUGAAUUGCAGAAUUCAGUGAAUCAUCGAAUCUUUGAACGCACAUUGCGCCCUCUGGUAUUCCGGAGGGCAUGCCUGUUCGAGCGUCAUUUCAACCCUCAAGCCUGGCUUGGUGAUGGGGCACUGCCUGUAAUAGGGCAGGCCCUGAAAUCUAGUGGCGAGCUCGCCAGGACCCCGAGCGUAGUAGUUAUAUCUCGCUCUGGAAGGCCCUGGCGGUGCCCUGCCGUUAAACCCCCAACUUCUGAAAAUUUGACCUCGGAUCAGGUAGGAAUACCCGCUGAACUU
rnacentral:rRNA from 1 species